CAAAGAGGAUACACCUGUUCCCAUUCCGAACACAGAAGUUAAGCUCUUUAGCGCCGAUGGUACUUGGUGGGAAGCUGCCUGGGAGAGUAGGACGUAGCCACGU
rnacentral:rRNA from 2 species